rnacentral:rRNA from 1 species
GUGGAGCAUGUGGCUUAAUUUGACUCAACGCGGGGAAUCUUACUAGGUCCGGACCGAGUCUAUGAACGUCGUACCGUUGGGUGCUACGUGAUUACUGGAUGAGUGGUGCAUGGCCGUUCUUAGUUCGUGGUGUUAAUUGUCUACUUAAUUGUUAUCGUUCCCGUAUCUCACGGUACGGAGCGCAUAACGAACGAGAUCGAGACCCGUGGUUUACGUCUUAGGUUAUUUGUGUACGACGUUUAAUCUACGGGGAUCGCGUAAUCACUCAACGGUACGAUCGAAAGACUCGGCAAUAACAGGUCUGUGAUGCCCUCAGAUGUUCUAGGCUGCACACGUGCUACAUUGUGAGUUGUAGUAUAUUGUGUAUGCGUAGAUAUGUCUAAGAUCCCCCGCAUCGAGUCUCAAUUACUCACGUGGUUGGACUCACCGAUUGUUGUAAUUAUUCGGUAUACUAA